rnacentral:rRNA from 1 species
CCGGCUUCGUCCCGUAAGGGGAUUAACUCGCUCAUCGCACUCACUGCCUGGUCCAUUUGGAAGCAUCGCAACGCCGCUGUCUUCGACAAUGCCCGGCCCUAUAAUGAUGAUCUUGCUCGCACAAUCAAAGAUGAGGCCCGCCUAUGGGCAUGUGCUGGAGCAACUAAGUUAGCAUCCAUCAUUCCUGUAACCUAAGACUUAUUGUAG